rnacentral:rRNA from 1 species
GACGAACGCUGGCGGCGUGCUUAACACAUGCAAGUCGAACGGUGAAGCGCCUUCCUUUUUGGUGGGUGUGGAUGAGUGGCGAACGGGUGAGUAACACGUGAGUAACCUGCCCCCUUCUUCUGGAUAACCGCAUGAAAGUGUGGCUCAUACGGGAUAUUCUGGGUCUGUCGCAUGAUGGGUCUGGGAAAGAUAUUGUUUCGGUGGGGGAUGGGCUCGCGGCCUAUCAGCUUGUUGGUGGGGUGAUGGCCUACCAAGGCGGUGACGGGUAGCCGGCCUGAGAGGGUGGACGGUCACACUGGGACUGAGACGCGGCCCAGACUCCUACGGGAGGCAGCAGUGGGGAAUAUUGCACAAUGGGCGCAAGCCUGAUGCAGCGACGCCGCGUGAGGGAUGGAGGCCUUCGGGUUGUGAACCUCUUUCGCCAGUGAAGCAGGCCUGCCUCGUUUGUGGGUGGGUUGACGGUAGCUGGAGAAGAAGCGCCGGCUAACUACGUG